rnacentral:snRNA from 1 species
AUACCUUUCUCGGCCUUUUGGCUAAGAUCAAGUGUAGUAUCUGUUCUUAUCAGUUUAAUAUCUGAUAUGUGAAUCAUCGAUUCACACGAUAUUAAAUUAAUUUUUUUUGGGUGAAGAUUUAUUACAAUGGCUUGCCAUUGAGGUUUUCUCUUGUCGCCAUAGUUUUGCACUAUUGCUUUGCUGGCAAAACCCUA